ACAACAUUCGGACCGUCGAUCUACCGAGCAAUAUCACCACCUCAGUGGAAGAUCUUUCCUUUCGUCGU
rnacentral:pre_miRNA from 1 species